AACUGGGUGAUGGUCAGCACUUUGAAGUGGUCUCCAGGAGCUUUGAAGGCCCGGUCAGUCAGUUCAUUGGCAGGGCCUGCAAAGCUCCUCUCAAUCAAGUCCUGACUUUACCUGCCCCACAUGUGACCUCAUGUGUCAGCUUGUUUUCUGAUGCUCCAGAGGGAAGACCCAAACCAAUGGAUUCGAAUGACAAAAAUGAAAUUCUGACUAAAUAGCAGGAAGAACUUUCUGGUGGUAAGAUCUGUUCAACAGUGGAACGGACUCUUUCUGAAUGUGGUAGACUUUCCUUCCUUAGAGGUUUUCUUACAGAGGUUGGAUGGCUAGAGAUUCUUUAGCUGUGAUUCCUGCAUUACAGAGGGCUCUGCUAGAUGGACCUGCAGGCAGGGGCGUAGGAAGGGGGUGUGGGUGUGCAGUCGUCCUGGAUGUCACCCUGACAGGGGGUGACAAAAUGGUGGGCGGCACCACGGAGCCUGCAGCAUGCACAAGCCACGCGUCUCGGCGCCCGCAGUCUCCACGCUAUCCGCCCGCUGCCUGCCCCCCAGCUGUAGGGCAGCUGAGGCCCCGCUUUGCACCCCAUCCCUAUGGGCUGUCGGAAUCUCCCCUGCGACCGAGCUACUCCUCCGGUCGAGCCUUCGGAAUCUCCUCCAACGAAGAUUACUGACCUGAGCCUUUGAUAAGGCUCCAGGCACGUUCCCCAUUCAGCAGAGUAUACAGCAGCAGCGGAGGACGAGAAAUAUGCAAAGAGUUUUAUUUCUAAUUAUGCAGACAGAAAAGCAUACAUCCUCUCUCUGUGAAAGCAGAGAGGCAACUGAAACAAAGGAACAGGAAACCAGUAACAUCACAUCCGUUUUCCGUGAGACUUCCAACAGCCUGGAACAUCUGGAAUGCAAAACAGAGUCUUGUGACUCCAAGCACUGCACAGUGGCAACACACAGAAACCUAACAUGGGCGCUGUGCACCCCAUCUCAUCCCUCUGGGUGCCAUGUGCCCCAUGGUAUGUGGUGCCCAUAGGGAUGGCAUGGGACGACACAGCACAGGUGCGCACCAUCCAUAGGGACGGGGCAUGCUGCGUACCCCGUCACUAUGGAUGGUUCACCCCACCCCUGGGCACGCCACCCCAGUUGCCCGAGAGGCUUCCUCUGCCACUGCCCGCAGGGACCUCUGCAAUUCUUUGAUCAUAUGUAGCAAAGAGUUUACAAUCUAAAUUUAGGGUAUGGAUAUAGGCCUUUCUCUGCGAGAUACGUGUGGGAUUUGAAGCCAGAGCAAACUUUCUCUGAUCCUCUCCGUCUUUCCUUAUCAUUCAGAACAAUGAGAACGCCUUCCAUUCUUACAAGGCUCGCUUGGAGAAUCGUAGAAUCACAGAAGAAAGGAUAAUUCUCGCCAGCCUUGUUAAUUGGAUUACAGUUAAUUUGGUGUUGAAGUACCUUUGACAAGGAAGCAAAGGAAAUAUAAUGAGCAUGGAUUUUUAUACAGGAUCUAAGGAAGAAGGAG